AGUCGAGCGCGAACGGUGACUUCGGUUGCCUAGUAGAGCGGCGCACGGGUGAGUAACACGUGAGUAACCUGCCCCACAGCCUGGGAUAACUCUUCGAAAGGAGGGCUAAUACCGGAUACGUCCGCAUGGUCAUAUGACUGAGCGGGGAAAGAUUUAUCACUGUGGGAUGGGCUCGCGGUCCAUUAGAUAGUUGGUGGGGUAACGGCCUACCAAGUCAGAGAUGGAUAGCUGGUCUGAGAGGAUGAUCAGCCACACUGGGACUGAGACACGGCCCAAACUCCUACGGGAGGCAGCAGUGGGGAAUAUUGCGCAAUGGGGGAAACCCUGACGCAACAACGCCGCGUGAGUGAUGAAGGCCUUCGGGUCGUAAAGCUCUGUUGGGAGGGAAAAAUUUUGACGGUACCUCCUGAGGAAGCACCGGUUAACUCCGUGCCAGCAGCCGCGGUAAUACGGAGGGUGCAAACGUUGUUCGGAAUCAUUGGGCGUAAAGAGCACGUAGGCGGCUCAUUAGGUCGGGUGUGAAAUCCCGGGGCUUACCCCCGGAAUUGCGCUCAAAACCGGUGAGCUUGACUCCUGGAGGGAAAAGUAAAAUUCCUGGGGGAGGGGGGGAAAUCCCGUAAAUAUCAGGGAGGAAUACCAGGGG
rnacentral:rRNA from 1 species